rnacentral:rRNA from 1 species
CAGAACGAACGCUGGCGGCGCGUUUAAGCAUGCAAGUCGAGGGGUAGAGAAUCUUCGGAUUCUUGAGACCGGCGAACGGGUGAGUAACACGUAGGUGAUCUGCCACGAGGUUGGGGAUAGCCCAUGGAAACAUGGGGUAAUACCGAAUGAGCUCUUUUUACUAUGGUGAGAAGAGGAAAAGCGCUUCGGCGCUGCCUUGUGAUGAGCCUGCGGCUGAUUAGCUUGUUGGUGGGGUAACGGCCUACCAAGGCAACGAUCAGUAGCCGGCCUGAGAGGGUGAUCGGCCACACUGGGACUGAGAUACGGCCCAGACUCCUACGGGAGGCAGCAGCUAAGAAUCUUCCGCAAUGGACGAAAGUCUGACGGAGCGACGCCGCGUGGGUGAAGAAGGCCGAGAGGUUGUAAAGCCCUUUUCUGUCUGAGGAAUAAGCUUGGGAGGGAAUGCCCGAGUGAUGACGGUAGGACAGGAAUAAGCCCCGGCUAAUUACGUGCCAGCAGCCGCGGUAACACGUAUGGGGCGAGCGUUGUUCGGAAUUAUUGGGCGUAAAGGGCGCGUAGGCGGAUAUACAAGUCUGGUGUGAAAGACCGCAGCUUAACUGCGGGAGCGCGCUGGAAACUGUAUGUCUUGAAUCCUUGAGGGGAAACUGGAAUUCCUGGUGUAGGGGUGAAAUCUGUAGAUAUCAGGAAGAACAUCGGUGGCGAAGGCGAGUUUCUGGCAAGUGAUUGACGCUGAGGCGCGAAAGCGUGGGGAGCAAACAGGAUUAGAUACCCUGGUAGUCCACGCUGUAGACGAUGUGCACUAGGCGUAGGGGUGUCGAAACCUCAGUGCCGGAGCUAACGUGGUAAGGUGCACGACUGGGGAGUAUGC